rnacentral:piRNA from 1 species
GCAGAGCUCUACCCUGAGGAUAUAAACAC